UACGGAGGGUGCAAGCGUUGUUCGGAUUUACUGGGCGUAAAGGGCGCGUAGGCGGUUUUAUAAGCCAGAUGUGAAAGCCCACGGCUCAACCGUGGAAGUGCAUCUGGAACUGUAAGACUUGAGUAUGGGAGAGGAAAGUGGAAUUCCCGGUGUAGAGGUGAAAUUCGUAGAUAUCGGGAGGAAUACCGGUGGCGAAGGCGGCUUCCUGGCAUGUAACUGACACUCAUGUUCGAAAGCGUGGGUAGCAAACAGGAUUAGAAACCCGU
rnacentral:rRNA from 1 species